UCUUCCCCCACCGCCGACUUCUCCCGAGUUCUUUUCUUCUUUCCCAUCUGGCCAACAUCCUCUUCUCCUCUCUCGAUCGAGCCAUCGAUCCCCCGCCGCAUCACCUCCUCCCCCUCUUCAUCGCCGACCUUUAUCGAGCCACUCCCAUGACUUCUCCUCCCUUUCAUAGUUGCUUGACGCCAAGCCACACGAUGGUUCACCGGAGCAGCCUCGACCCUCAUCGCCACCUUGCUCCACAGAAUGGUGUGACGCUAUCAGUCGAUCGUCGUCCAUGUGAGUGCCACGGACAUUGCCCUACCGCCGACGACCACCGUCCUUCUCAAGUUUUUCUCGGCGGAGGCUGAUCCUCGGUCAAGAGGGGAACCAAUGCCUAUCAUCAAUCCUUUGAUGUUGCUCCGAGGGGCCUGCAACUCCGACCACAGGAACCCUUUGUUCCAACCAAUCGGUGUUCGAGACCGGGCUCUCGUAUCCUAGAUUUCUCCUUGCUGCACCGUGCCCUAAUUUUCUAAUGCCACUAGCUACCUGCCCAGAUCUUAGCAGUGAACAACGGUUUGCCUUGCUGUGAGUAGGAGCUGUCAACCCUAGAUGUCGACUUUUUGUUGCCUACUGUUAUUGCUGGAGAUGAACGGAAUUUGGGUUCGCAAGGGAAGGAGUUAGCGAAUAGUAGUGGAUCGUUGCUGCUGGUUGUGAGCCACAUUUAGUGACACCUAGUGCCAAACUUGGGGUUAUUUCGCCAGGUAGCAGGUAAAGGACUUACGGAGUCGUUUGGAGAACAUGUCCGCCAGUCCCACGUCACAUUCGAGGAUGAUCUUAUGGUUUUUGGUAUUUCUUACGCUAUUUGUGUUUUGGUUUGUACUUGAUCUUAUAUUUGUGUAUUCCUUUAUAUGGAGUUUUUUUUUGUGGUAUCUUGUAUUUGGUUUGGGGAUGAUGUGUCAAGCCGAGCCGGCUCGCAAUUAGUUGUAUUGUGGUUUUCUUUUUCGUGAUCGUUAUUUGUGAUUUCCCCUGUGUUUUACUCUCAGCCGUGUGGGUUGUUUUUAAUAUAGAUAUAACUGUGUGGUUGUGUUUA